GGAAUAUUGGUCAAUGGACGAGAGUCUGAACCAGCCAAGUAGCGUGCAGGAUGACGGCCCUAUGGGUUGUAAACUGCUUUUAUACGGGGAUAAAGUGACCCACGUGUGGGUUUUUGUAGGUACCGUAUGAAUAAGGACCGGCUAAUUCCGUGCCAGCAGCCGCGGUAAUACGGAAGGUCCGGGCGUUAUCCGGAUUUAUUGGGUUUAAAGGGAGCGCAGGCUGAUUGUUAAGCGUGACGUGAAAUGUAGCCGCUCAACGGCUGCACUGCGUCGCGAACUGGCAGUCUUGAGUGAGUACGACGUCAGCGGAAUUCGUGGUGUAGCGGUGAAAUGCUUAGAUAUCACGAAGAACCCCGAUUGCGAAGGCAGCUGACGAGUCCUUUACUGACGCUAAAGCUCGAAGGUGCGGGUAUCGAACA
rnacentral:rRNA from 1 species